ACACUAGUGGUGAAACGGUAUCAUGCGUCGUUGCCAUCGACGCGGCGGGGGUUCGACUCCCUCCUAGUGUA
rnacentral:tRNA from 2 species